AUAAUGGGUCAGCGACUUAUAUUCUGUAGCAAGGUUAACCGAAUAGGGGAGCCGAAGGGAAACCGAGUCUUAACUGGGCGUUAAGUUGCAGGGUAUAGACCCGAAACCCGGUGAUCUAGCCAUGGGCAGGUUGAAGGUUGGGUAACACUAACUGGAGGACCGAACCGACUAAUGUUGAAAAAUUAGCGGAUGACUUGUGGCUGGGGGUGAAAGGCCAAUCAAACCGGGAGAUAGCUGGUUCUCCCCGAAAGCUAUUUAGGUAGCGCCUCGUGAAUUCAUCUCCGGGGGUAGAGCACUGUUUCGGCAAGGGGGUCAUCCCGACUUACCAACCCGAUGCAAACUGCGAAUACCGGAGAAUGUUAUCACGGGAGACACACGGCGGGUGCUAACGUCCGUCGUGAAGAGGGAAACAACCCAGACCGCCAGCUAAGGUCCCAAAGUCAUGGUUAAGUGGGAAACGAUGUGGGAAGGCCCAGACAGCCAGGAUGUUGGCUUAGAAGCAGCCAUCAUUUAAAGAAAGCGUAAUAGCUCACUGGUCGAGUCGGCCUGCGCGGAAGAUGUAACGGGGCUAAACCAUGCACCGAAGCUGCGGCAGCGACGCUUAUGCGUUGUUGGGUAGGGGAGCGUUCUGUAAGCCUGCGAAGGUGUGCUGUGAGGCAUGCUGGAGGUAUCAGAAGUGCGAAUGCUGACAUAAGUAACGAUAAAGCGGGUGAAAAGCCCGCUCGCCGGAAGACCAAGGGUUCCUGUCCAACGUUAAUCGGGGCAGGGUGAGUCGACCCCUAAGGCGAGGCCGAAAGGCGUAGUCGAUGGGAAACAGGUUAAUAUUCCUGUACUUGGUGUUACUGCGAAGGGGGGACGGAGAA
rnacentral:rRNA from 1 species